GCAAAGACAAUGAUGGGAAGAGUAGAUAUAAUAAGGGAUUAAAGCGAGUCGAUGAGGGUGGAAGAUCGAUGUCAUAAUUAUAUUGAAGAACAUCCUUGAGUCUAUAACCGAAAUGUUUAAAGUAGGCUUAUACGGCACCAAACCGUUAUCCUUGGACAGCAUUAAAAAAUAUUGAAAUGUUUUCAUUCAAUAUAAUAGCUGCUGAUUGAGAUGGCCAUUUACAUGGCAAUUUGGGUGGUACCGCGAAUAAACCUUUCGUCCCUAUU
rnacentral:ncRNA from 1 species